rnacentral:tRNA from 1 species
GCUUCCAUGGCUCAGUUGGUUAGAGCGCCGGUCUCAUAUCUAGUAUGAAUGACACUGUCAUAUAAUCCGGAGAUCACCAGUUCGACCCUGGUUGGGAGCA